AAAGGUGUCUUUCAGAUCCAUUCAAGCCACAUAUACACCUGACUUGGCUGAUCCAUCAAGUCAAGCUUUCCAAGCUCGAGCUAAACUGGUAGAAGAGCAGCUGACACCACUUUUUCGUCCCCUUCCCUCCUUCCUAUCACUGAAGGUCGACGAAUUCAGGAAUGGAUCGAUCAUCCAAUUUAUGACACUUACGUUUGCUGGCACAUCUCCUCCAAAUAACACCCAGAUUGCAAAUGUUUUGAUCAGUGCAGCUUCAAAUGUCACUGGCUUUGACAUUGAAAGUGCUUCCAUCACCAUAAACGGCAUAGCUUCAAGUGGAGUAAGCCACAGUAUCAGUCUCAUCACCGCAUCCUGCCUGGUACUGCUGUCAUGGCUACUGUCAAGCCAGCAAUAGUGCUGAUGACAGCCAUGACUGGAAUGAAAAAAGGACUUUAUCCAUAAAAAUCUAAGAUCCAUGACACUCUUAAGUCUUGUGCAGCUUUGGAUGGGCUUGCUUUCAAAUGUAACUUUAAGCACUUGGUCCAUUGAGCCAUUGCUAGAAUAAUAAGCCAAACAAUACAACCUCAAGCCUUGGGAUUUAAGAAAAAAUACACUAAUACUGUCCAAAUGAAUCUUGCUUGAAUGACUACUGUCCUGAGACAAUAAUUAACUUAGUGACAGGUACUAAUGCUGUCUUAUUUUCUCUUGUUCUACAAACAGUUAAAACCAGCCACGCUGGAAAGCAACAGAGUAAAAUCACUCUCCUCAUUGUCUGAAUGCAGUUGAGAACAUGUGAGCAUACUUUAAAGGGAACGUGUCUUAAAUUAAUGAAGGAACACAUGCAGGUCAUGGUAUUAAUGAUAUACAUGUAAGCACAAUGCAAUGUCAGUUUUAAUAUUUAUGUUUAUGUAAUCAUGCAUAGCUGUAUUCUGUGAGAUUGUUUGUAGUACAGUUUCUGUUAGAAGCUUAUCAGUUAUCAGAAUACAAAAUCUUUAAAUCAUCUCUUAUGUGAUAUUUUUGCAGUUUUUAGUGGUUAAUUUAGAAAGUGUAUGAGGGUGUGUUAAAUGUCAAGAGCUUUAAUUAAAGCACCACAGAUGUUUACAGACAAUCAA